UGGGGAAUUUUGGACAAUGGGGGAAACCCUGAUCCAGCCAUCCCGCGUGUGCGAUGAAGGCCUUCGGGUUGUAAAGCACUUUUGGCAGGAAAGAAACGUCGCGGGUUAAUACCCCGCGAAACUGACGGUACCUGCAGAAUAAGCACCGGCUAACUACGUGCCAGCAGCCGCGGUAAUACGUAGGGUGCAAGCGUUAAUCGGAAUUACUGGGCGUAAAGCGUGCGCAGGCGGUUCGGAAAGAAAGAUGUGAAAUCCCAGAGCUUAACUUUGGAACUGCAUUUUUAACUACCGGGCUAGAGUGUGUCAGAGGGAGGUGGAAUUCCGCGUGUAGCAGUGAAAUGCGUAGNUAUGCGGAGGAACACCGAUGGCGAAGGCAGCCUCCUGGGAUAACACUGACGCUCAUGCACGAAAGCGUGGGGAGCAAACAGGAUUAGAUACCCUGGUAGUCCAACGCCCUAAACGAUGUCAACUAGCUGUUGGGGCCUUCGGGCCUUGGUAGCGCAGCUAACGCGUGAAGUUGACCG
rnacentral:rRNA from 1 species